rnacentral:rRNA from 1 species
GAUGAACGCUGACAGAAUGCUUAACACAUGCAAGUCAACUUGAAUUUGGUUUUUUAACUUAGGUUUGGGUGGCGGACGGGUGAGUAACGCGUAAAGAACUUGCCUCACAGCUAGGGACAACAUUUGGAAACGAAUGCUAAUACCUAAUAUUAUGAUAAUAGGGCAUCCUAUAAUUAUGAAAGCUAUAAGCGCUGUGAGAGAGCUUUGCGUCCCAUUAGCUAGUUGGAGAGGUAACGGCUCACCAAGGCGAUGAUGGGUAGCCGGCCUGAGAGGGUGAUCGGCCACAAGGGGACUGAGACACGGCCCUUACUCCUACGGGAGGCAGCAGUGGGGAAUAUUGGACAAUGGACCAAGAGUCUGAUCCAGCAAUUCUGUGUGCACGAUGAAGUUUUUCGGAAUGUAAAGUGCUUUCAGUUGGGAAGAAAGAAAUGACGGUACCAACAGAAGAAGUGACGGCUAAAUACGUGCCAGCAGCCGCGGUAAUACGUAUGUCACGAGCGUUAUCCGGAUUUAUUGGGCGUAAAGCGCGUCUAGGUGGUUAUGUAAGUCUGAUGUGAAAAUGCAGGGCUCAACUCUGUAUUGCGUUGGAAACUGUAUAACUAGAGUACUGGAGAGGUAAGCGGAACUACAAGUGUAGAGGUGAAAUUCGUAGAUAUUUGUAGGAAUGCCGAUGGGGAAGCCAGCUUACUGGACAGAUACUGACGCUGAAGCGCGAAAGCGUGGGUAGCAAACAGG